rnacentral:lncRNA from 1 species
AAAAAGGAGGAGAUCAGAUUUUUCCCAUCCCUAGCGCAGCUUUCCCCUUUCUUCCCAUUCCCUCUUCAUCUCCCUCAAAAAACCAGAACCCUCCCCACAUUUUGAAAAACCCUAGCAGCCUUCUCUAACAAAAACAGAAACAGAGCAGCUGCAAAAAAGGAACGGCGCACCCCCUCCCCCUCCCUUUUUCUUCCUCUUCAUUUCUCCAAACCACACACAAAAGAAGACCAGCGCCGACGCACUGAAAGUAUUCAAUAGCGAGCUGAAGGAGCUUUCGAAAAAAUUCUAAAAAAAAUCAAAAAGAAGGAAAGAAAAGAAGAAAAACUUCAAAACUGGAUCUGAAAAGCUAAAAAUGAAAGAGCUUCUGAAAAUCCGGGCUUCUAUAGGUAUGUCAGGGUUGAAAUCACUGCUGCUUUAUGUUGAAGCUUUCGUUUCUGAGUAGUUGCUGCUGAACUCGUAGGAAUGCCCAUCACAAUCCCCUUGAGCAAGUUUUUAUUGUGAUUCUGAUUUUGUGUUGGAAUAUUACUGUAUUGUGAUAUAUUUUAGUUUUGGUUGAUAAUUUAAGAACGUUCCUUGAGUUGAUGAAUCUUUAAUUGAUUAUUGCAUGAAUUAGCUAUAAGUCAUCAGAAAACAGUAAAAAGAAAAAACCGUGUGUAUGCUUUUGUUUAAUGUUAUUUUGUACCAAGAAGAAAGGGUUGUUUUGAUGAUGAGGGGUGUCUUCAAUAAAUUUUUUUUGUUUAUGGGGAUUUGAACUAUCCAAAAUCAAAGAGCGGUGUAUUAAAAAUGACUUCUGUUAGCUACUGGAAUUUUUGAUUUUUGUUGCUGGAAUUGCUAAAAGAUCUGUCCAGAUUUGGGAUUCUGCAUUUAUUUUGGAAUAUAUUUGGUGUUUCAAUUAAUCACAAGUUAAGUCUCAACUUUGGAGAAUAGAUACAACUAGAGGCACAUUUAACAUAACUCGCUUCAAAACUGAACAAACUUAGCCAGCUAAAUAUUAGGUAAAAGAGAAAUCGGCAUAUAAAAGUUUAUCAUGGCGAGGACAACAUGCAUUUAUCACUUUCUAUGAGGACAUAAUUAUGGUAAUCUUCAUUUGGGAUCAAAUUGAGGUAACUCAGUUAAAUAAAUAUAUUAAUCUAUAGUUCUAUUCAUGAAUAACCUUCUAUGUCUGAGUAGAAUUAAAAAAAAUCCCAUGUAUGUGGUUAUAUCCUUUGUUUGUUCUCUCAAUCAAACCAUAAGAUGAUCCAUUUUAACUUGUUAUUAAAUAGAUUGAGAGAUGUUGCUACUUGAAGCAUUUUGGAUUGGGUCAAGUUAAUUUCGUUUUUUCAAGUUAGGUCACGUAUUAGAUAUAAUUGUAUAGAGUAAUGUGUUAGUUCAUUCAUUAAUAUUGAAGGAAAUUUCUUUUAGCUACAGUGCGAAUGUUUUGUUUUAUGUUGAGGUACAAUACUGAGUUAUAUUUAGUGACUUAUCAUAAUAGUCAAAUACACACUUCUUUUACUAGACUCUUCCAUAUCCCAAGAACUUUGCAAUAAUUUCAAACUUAGAAAGAAAUAAUCCUUGAACACCGUAGUUCGCUUUAGGCACUAAUUAAAUAAUUGUCAUAGCUACGUACGGUUCCCGUGACGUAGUUGUGACGCUUAAUUACUAAAAUUUGGGGUACAUUUAUGUGAUCCGACCACAGUUUAAUCUUUUAAAAUUACACAUAUUGUAGAUCGUGGGUACGGUUCCCGUGACAUGAUUCGCAAUAUGUAACAAUAAAUAAUUAAAAGCGGUUCUAAAGCUAAAAAUGCACCAUAGGUUAAAACACGUAAUAAAUCGGAUAAUAGGCCAAUUUUUAUAGUUUGAGCGACCGUGCUAGAACCACAGAACCCGGGAAUGCCUAACACCUUCUUCCGGGUUAACAUAAUUUGUUAUCUAGAAUUUCUAGUUCGCAGACUUUUAAAUAAAGUCGAAAAUUUUCUCGAUUUGGGAUCUUAAAAUAAACCGGUGACUUGGAACACCAAUGAUACUAUUCCAAGUGGCGAGUUUGAAAAAUUAAACAAAAUAAUCUCAUUUCGAACAAUGUCACUUUAAUUGGAAAAACUCCCAUAUACCCCCUCGGGCGGGUAAAAAGAAGGUGUGACAACAGCAUGUAUCCAAAUUCGUUUCCCUUAGAAUCAUGCCUAUAAGUCCAAAGUCAGUUUUUUUAAUAAUUAGAUAUCAUGCCUAUAGGAUUUAAAAUCAGUUGUAAUAGAAAUCAUGCCUAUAAGGUCUAAAAUCAGUUUAGUUAAAAAUCAGUUUGACUCGUGCCUGUCUGAAUCAGAUUAAAUAACAUACUCUUUUCGUGUUAAUCAAUAUCAUUAGAAAGAAUGCCUAUAGGAUCCAAAUCGCUUGUUUAAAAUUAAUCACUACUUUACUGCAUCAACAUAGAUAUCAUGCUCAUAGGAUAUCACUGUUACGCCUAGGCAAGCCUUAGGUAAUUACUUAAAUAAAACUGGAAUUGCCUUUGUCGAUCACCAACUGCUACAACCAGCAGGCAGACUUGAUUCAGACUUCUUUUCUGAGUUAUAUAAUGAAUCUGGUUCUAACUCAAACUCUGCUUUAAGAUUUUAUAAUUUAGACCAUAAGUGUGUUUAAGUCGUGCUAGUUAUGUGCUUUAUUUGCGGAGGUAUGCGUGAGACUUAUAACUGCUUACAUGUUUCCCUCUAAAUGCAGUCCUACGUGUUUUGUAUGUUGUCUAGCCUUUGUACCUUUAAACCUAAGAGUCAGCCUAAAAUCCCACCUCUUAUAGGAAUAGUAGUCCUAAAUUCCUCCGGGACUGAUAGGAAAGGGACGGGUAAUAGCAUGCAAUAGAGGUCGAGACCAAUCCGCGCUUCAAUACCCUAACGGGGAGGGAAGGAUAGAUAUAGAUAUGAUGAUCGGUGCGCUAAUACCACGUGUAUCCCCUCUUCUGAGGAGUGUCAUACCGAGUAUUGCAUUGAGGUGAUCCAUAUUAUAAACAAACCUAGGAUCCCCUUUUAUUUUUACAAGCAUGUUUAGUCUAUAACUCUUUCAAACCUUGCCUUUCAAUAAUUGUUUCAAACGCUUGUGUGUUUAACUUAAAUCCCCUCUUACUUGAGCCUUACUUGUUUACUUGCUAAUUGCACAAAUUCACAAAAAACUAUCUGGUCGGGAACCACACUAGUGGAUCCUGAGGGGUGGCUAACACCUUCCCCUUAGGAUAAUUUCUAGCCCUUACCCAAUCUCUGGAAACAUAGUUGUAAAUGAACUCAAUAGGUGUCCUAAUGCGCCUCAAACCAUUAGGUGACGACUCUUCAAAAUACCCAAUUCCCAAAAAGGAAAUGAGUCAUUACACCCCAUGAAUGUCGAAACCCGGAAACUCCUCUCCGCUGGAAGAAAAGGGGUUAAAGGGGGCAUGACCGUUGUCUCGAGAGAUGCAGCUCACCUAAAUCUCUGUGUCAACCAUGCUGUUGUGCCCAACGAGGCCACUAGACAUACAUGUACCUGUGCAACAAAAAUGCACAACAAGUGUAGCAUGAGUACGAAAACAACGUGUACCCAGUGAGUAUCUCGUCUAAUCUCGAAAAAGUAGAGACGAGAGGUUGACUUCGACACUUACUAGUGGUCCAAUAAUAAUAUACCAAUAAUAUAGUAAAUCGAGUAUUUUCAUAAAGAUGGAUGUAACUCAAUAGCAUGAACAAGUAAGCAAUUUUUUUAUUAAUAGGAAAUUACCAAAUUAAUUUUCAUCAUUUAUACAUUUAUCUCAAGCCAUGGAGAACAAAUAUCAACAUCUAUAAAUCUCCAGGCAAGCAAUACAAACAUGCACAAAUCAUGCCGAGGUCGUACGGUCGGAUUCAACAAAUAUUUAAAAUGUGCACUGCUAGAAGGUCGAAUGGUGCGAACCAUAGAUGCAUCUAUUACCCCGCUCGCGAAUCAUACAUGCGACGCGGUCAAACAUAAAUAAACAAUCACCCCGCUCGCGAAUCAUAUAUGCGACACAUGUAUACAUAGAAACACACAUUCAAACAGUCAAUCAAAACUUCAUCAAGGAGACAAUUAUUUAAGGAAGUGUUAAUUUCUCUUUUACAAGUCGAGAAAAUGAAGUUUAACUCUUUUAGAAAAUCAUUUACCACUUCGAUGCAAUUAAACUGUCAAUAAGGUUACAAUUAUUACAAGUAAAGCAUGUUUUUUGGGUCCUAGACUACCCGGAUUUAAGUAUAAUAGUAGCUACGUACAGACUCUCGUUACUUCGUGCGUACGUAGCUCCCAUACAUAGAAGCACAUAUCCAAUUAAUUCACCUAUGGGGACAAUUCCCUCUUACAAUGUUAGAAAUGAGACUCACCUCGCUCCGAAGUUCCAAAAUCGGUUUCCAAGCCCUUUCGAUGACUCAAAUCAAUGCACAACGCUCCAAAACUAGCCAAUAAAUGAGAAAAUCCAUAAAUAUAUGCUCUAAUACUCACAACAAUUCAAUUUAGAUAAAUUCCUAACUCUGUUCGAAAAGUUGACAAAAUCGCCUUUGGGUCCACAUGCCCGGAUUCCAAAAAAACUCACGAAAUCCGACAACUCAUUCCGAUACAAGUUCAACCAUACCAAUUUUAUCAAACUCCGAUAAUAACUUGACCUCCAAAUCUUGAAUUUUUGUUCUUGAAAAGUUUUGCAAAACUCUAGAUUUCUUCCAUUUAAAUCCGAAAUAAAUGAUGAAUAUAAUCAUAGAAUCAUGAAGUAUAAUUUCUUUCGGAUAUAGGACACUUACCACAAUUCAUAUGGUGAAAAUCCCCUAAAAUAUUGCUUUAUUCUGAGCUCUAUAGCUCCAAAUAUGUUAAAAACGGUCGAAACCUCGAAAUAUAGCUUCUGCGUAGGUAUUUACCCUUCGCGAUCGCGGAAAAUGCUUCGCAAUCGCGAAGCACAAAUGCCUAGCUCUUCCAGACAGUCUCUAGUAUAAUGGCCAUAACUUUUUGUACAAAACUCCAAAUUGCAAGUGGUUUAACAUUUUGAAAACUAGACUCCAACUUUCAUGUUUUGCUCAUCUCCCAGUUCCUUAUAGAUUACAACAUAUAAGCUUCUAAAAUCAGCCAUGUGCAACAUAAAUUUCUUUUUCGCGAUUUCCAAACUCUUCCCGGAUAGGCUGUAGUGUACCACUCAUAACUUUUUGUACACAACUUAAAAUGCCAAAUGAUUUAUUUUUUGUUAAAACUAAACAUAAAGGGCUACAACUUUUAUUUUUGGAUCAGUUCCAAAUUCCUUAUAGAUUGCGAGAUACAAGCUUCCAAAUUCGGAUCAGUGUAGUAGAAACUUUCCUCUACGCGAUCGUGAAAGGCCUUCCGCAAUCGCGAUUCAUCGGCCAUUUUUGUCCCACUUUACUCAUCGCGAUCGCGACCAAUUCCCUGCGAUCGCAUAGUAUAUUGCUGUAGCCAAAAAAACAGCAGCUAAAAAUGGCCUAGAAAUGGUCCGAAACCACCCCGAAACUCACCCGAGCCCCUCGGGACCCCGUCCGAACAUACCAACAUGUCUCAAAAUGUAUCACAGACUUAGUCGAGGCCUCAAAUCACAUCAAACAACGCUAAAAAACAUGAAUCACACCCCAAUUCGAGUCUAAUGAAACUAAGAAGUUUCAAUUUCUACAUUCGAUGUCGAAACCUAUCAAACCACGUCCGAUUGACAUCAAAUUUUGCACACAAGUCACAUUCAACAUUAUGGACCUACUCCAACUUCUAAAAUCGGAAUCCGACCCCAAUAUCAAAAAUUCCACUCCCUGUCAAACUUCUCAAAAACCUUCAAACUUAUAACUUUUGCCAAAUGACUCCAAAAUGAUCUACGGACCUUCGAAUCCACUUUUGGGUGCGCUCCCAACACCAGAAUCACCAUACAGAGCUAUUCCCAGACUUGGAAUCCCAAACGGACAUUGAUAACAUUGAAAUGCACUUCAACCCGAAUUUAUGAAAUUCUUCCAAAAUGCUAACUUCUACAAUAGGCACCAAAACGCUCCUGAGUCAUCCAAAAUCCGAUCCGAACACACGCCUAAGUCCAAAAUCAUCAUACGAACCUGUUGGAACCUUCAAAUCCCGAAUCUGAGGUCGUUUACUCAAAAAUCACACUUUAGUCAAUUUUUCCAGCUUAAAGCUUCUGAAAUGAGAAUUUUCUUUCCGAAUCAACUCCGAACUUUUGGAAAUUCAAUUCCGACCACGCAUGCAAGUCAUAUACCUGAAGUAAAGCUAUUCAGGGCCUCAAACCACUGAACAAGGCGCUAGAGCUCAAAACGACCGGUCGGGUCAUUACAACUAGUAUAGCCCUUAUGUAUUUUCCUUGUUGAUAGAUAUUUCUGGAGUUAGAGCGUUUUAUAUAAACUCUUAGCUUGUGAUUCAUGGGGUUCUGAAUUUUGGGAGUGUUAGGUUGGGAUUCUUGUAUUGUUAUAUGCCAGGCGGCAUCUUAAACAUUGUUUCAUUUUGUUAUUUCGGUUUUAAAUUAGUUUCUUUCCACAAAUUGUUUCUUUUCCACAUUUGUUAGGCUUACCUAGUCGUAGAGAUUAAAUGUCGUCAUGAUAGUUCACAUAGGAUGAACUGGGGUCGUGACAAUUCCAAGCGCAUUCCGUCAAUACAGGCGGUCCCUCCUGUGUCACCCUUGUGUGCCUGAGCAAAGUUCUCGAUCAUUGCUGCAAGCUUCCCCAGCUCUGGGCAUUCGCUUGCCCGAUGUGAUCCUUUACAAAAGUAGCACCCUCCUUUAGGAACAUACUCGCUACCGUUUUCGACCCCAUGCCAUUUAUCUUGGACCCCUGUUUGUUGUGGGAUGGCCCUUUUGAUAUGUAGAUAUUUUGACCACUUAUUUGCACCCUUUUACUUUUGUUUUAGCCCAAAAAUGCUUAAAGGUAUUCCCGAGAACUGAUAUAAUGUGCUUAUUUGCAGGAUUAUUGGAAAAUGAGCCAAAGAGGUGAAAAUCAAUUCAAGAAGGAGUAAUUUUGGAUAAGGACUAAAACAACACCAAAAGAGCAAAGUACGGACCACACAAUAUUGUGUGCGGGCGCAGACCAUGAAGGAACCUCUGAUAGAUUCCCUUUACAAAGUGCGUACCACACAAUUAUUAUGCAGCCGCAGAAGAUGAGGUUCAGAGAGAUGAGAUUUUGGUCCUUGAAAAAAUGCGGACCGUGAUCUCGGCCAAACCCACACCACAAUUAAGUAGUGAGACGGUUGAUGCAAUAAUAGCCCAACAAAGGUCGGGAUCAAAUCCACAGGGAGUUAGAAUAUUGGAUUAGGUGUAUAUCUAAGUUGAUUGCAUGUUUUGACUUCAAUUGUACUUCCACAAUGUUGAGUGGUGUACUACUUCUACUUUACUCUAUUGAAUGCAAA